rnacentral:rRNA from 1 species
UCGCCUGUUUAUCAAAAACAUGGUUUUUUGUAUUUAUUUAAAAGAUCUGACCUGCCCACUGAAUUAAGUUUGAAGGGCCGCAGUAUUUUGACUGUGCGAAGGUAGCAUAAUCAUUAGUCUUUUAAUUGAAGGCUUGUAUGAAAGGUUGAAUGAGGUGAAUACUGUUUUAUGUAAUAUAAUUGAAUUUAGGUUUUAAGUAAAAAUACUUAAAUUAAAUUAAGGGACGAGAAGACCCUAUAGAGUUUAAUAAAUGUAAUAGUAAACUGAGUUAUUAAGAAAUUUUUGGUUUUUAUUAAAUUUAUUUAAUUGGGGUGAUUAAAGGAUAUAUAAAACUCCUUUUUAAUUUUAAUAUAGAUGAAUAAAUAUAUGAUCCAUUAUUAUUGAUUAUAAGAUUAAAUUACCUUAGGGAUAACAGCAUAAUUUUCUUUAAGAGUUCUUAUCGAAAAGGAAGAUUGUGACCUCGAUGUUGGAUUAAGAUUUGUUUAGGGUGUAGAUGUUUAUAAACUAGGUCUGUUCGACCUUUAAAAUCUUACAUGAUCUGAGUUCAAACCGGAGA